AACGAACGCUGGCGGCAGGCUUAACACAUGCAAGUCGAGCGCCCCGCAAGGGGAGCGGCAGACGGGUGAGUAACACGUGGGAACAUACCCAUCUCUGCGGAACAACUCCGGGAAACUGGAGCUAAUACCGCAUACGCCCUUCGGGGGAAAGAUUUAUCGGAGAUGGAUUGGCCCGCGUUGGAUUAGCUAGUUGGUGGGGUAAAGGCCUACCAAGGCGACGAUCCAUAGCUGGUCUGAGAGGAUGAUCAGCCACAUUGGGACUGAGACACGGCCCAAACUCCUACGGGAGGCAGCAGUGGGGAAUAUUGGACAAUGGGCGCAAGCCUGAUCCAGCCAUGCCGCGUGAGUGAUGAAGGCCUUAGGGUUGUAAAGCUCUUUCACCGAUGAAGAUAAUGACGGUAGUCGGAGAAGAAGCCCCGGCUAACUUCGUGCCAGCAGCCGCGGUAA
rnacentral:rRNA from 1 species